rnacentral:rRNA from 1 species
GAUGAACGCUGGCGGCGUGCCUAAUACAUGCAAGUCGAGCGAACAGAUGAGGAGCUUGCUCCUCUGACGUUAGCGGCGGACGGGUGAGUAACACGUGGAUAACCUACCUAUAAGACUGGGAUAACUUCGGGAAACCGGAGCUAAUACCGGAUAAUAUAUUGAACCGCAUGGUUCAAUAGUGAAAGACGGUUUUGCUGUCACUUAUAGAUGGAUCCGCGCCGCAUUAGCUAGUUGGUAAGGUAACGGCUUACCAAGGCAACGAUGCGUAGCCGACCUGAGAGGGUGAUCGGCCACACUGGAACUGAGACACGGUCCAGACUCCUACGGGAGGCAGCAGUAGGGAAUCUUCCGCAAUGGGCGAAAGCCUGACGGAGCAACGCCGCGUGAGUGAUGAAGGUCUUCGGAUCGUAAAACUCUGUUAUUAGGGAAGAACAAAUGUGUAAGUAACUAUGCACGUCUUGACGGGACCUAAUCAGAAAACCACGGCUAACUACGU